GACGAACGCUGGCGGCGUGCCUAACACAUGUAAGUCGAACGGGACUGGGGGCAACUCCAGUUCAGUGGCAGACGGGUGCGUAACACGUGAGCAACUUGUCCGACGGCGGGGGAUAGCCGGCCCAACGGCCGGGUAAUACCGCGUACGCUUGUUUGGGGACAUCCCCAGACGAGGAAAGCCGUAAGGCACCGACGGAGAGGCUCGCGGCCUAUCAGCUAGUUGGCGGGGUAAUGGCCCACCAAGGCGACGACGGGUAGCUGGUCUGAGAGGAUGGCCAGCCACAUUGGGACUGAGACACGGCCCAGACUCCUACGGGAGGCAGCAGUGGGGAAUCUUGCGCAAUGGCCGCAAGGCUGACGCAGCGACGCCGCGUGUGGGAUGACGGCCUUCGGGUUGUAAACCACUGUCGGGAGGAACGAAUACUCGGCUUAGCCGAGGGUGACGGUACCUCCAAAGGAAGCACCGGCUAACUCCGUGC
rnacentral:rRNA from 1 species